rnacentral:rRNA from 1 species
GACGAAGGGGGCUAGCGUUGUUCGGAAUUACUGGGCGUAAAGCGCGUGUAGGCGGUUGUUCAAGUCCGGUGUGAAAGCCUUGAGCUCAACUCAAGAAAUGCACUUGGUACUGGAUGACUAGAGGACCGGAGAGGAUAGUGGAAUUCCCAGUGUAGUGGUGAAAUACGUAGAGAUUGGGAAGAACACCAGUGGCGAAGGCGGCUAUCUGGACGGUUUCUGACGCUAAGACGCGAAAGCGUGGGGAGCAAACAGG